rfam:Aedes albopictus isolate Foshan contig54798, whole genome shotgun sequence.
AGCUUUGCGCAGUGGCGAUAUCGUAACCAAUGAGGUACAACCGAGGUGCGAUUAUUGCUAGUUGAAAAAAGUAAACAAUUUCAUUUUGUUUGCUCAUACAGGCGUUACGCCAAAAAUGGAGAAUUUUCGAUCCCCCUCUCCCUGU